rnacentral:lncRNA from 1 species
GUUGUCCCAGUCCUGGGACAACGGCGUGGCCCCGAAGGUGCAGUACUUGGAGCCACAGGCAGUUUGGGAAUGGUCCCUGGGAAUUCCCCUAGGUGGCACUGGGUGCCAGCUGAGACCCGGGUCUCUGCCCUCAGGACCCAGCUGUGAUCCAGCACCGACCCAGCCGGCAGUAUGCCACGCUUGACGUCUACAACCCUUUUGAGACCCGGGAGCCACCACCAGCCUAUGAGCCUCCAGCCCCUGCCCCAUUGCCUCCACCCUCAGCUCCCUCCUUGCAGCCCUCGAGAAAGCUCAGCCCCACAGAACCUAAGAACUAUGGCUCAUACAGCACUCAGGCCUCAGCUGCAGCAGCCACAGCUGAGCUGCUGAAGAAACAGGAGGAGCUCAACCGGAAGGCAGAGGAGUUGGACCGAAGGGAGCGAGAGCUGCAGCAUGCUGCCCUGGGGGGCACAGCUAGACAUCUCCAUGGAGAUCCCCCAAGAAUUUCAGAAGACUGUAUCCACCAUGUACUACCUCUGGAUGUGUGAGUAGUGAGAAGCCUUUUGGAGGAAGUUACAGGCAGCACGCUGGCUCUUCUCCUGAACUUCCUCGCCUGCCUGGCCAGCUUCUGUGUGGAAACCAACAAUGGCGCAGGCUUUGGGCUUUCUAUCCUCUGGGUCCUCCUUUUCACUCCCUGCUCCUUUGUCUGCUGGUACCGCCCCAUGUAUAAGGCUUUCCGGAGUGACAGUUCAUUCAAUUUCUUCGUUUUCUUCUUCAUUUUCUUCGUCCAGGAUGUGCUCUUUGUCCUCCAGGCCAUUGGUAUCCCAGGUUGGGGAUUCA